GCUGGCGGCGUGCCUAACACAUGCAAGUCGAGCGAGAAAGUGGGGGCAACUCCAUGAGUACAGCGGCGACCGGGUGAGUAACACGUGACUAACCUACCCUUGAGUGGGGAAUAACUCCGGGAAACCGGAGCUAAUACCGCAUAACACCGCAAGGUCAAAGGAGCAAUUCGCUUAAGGAGGGGGUCGCGGUUGAUUAGCUAGUUGGUGGGGUAAUGGCCCACCAAGGCGAUGAUCAAUAGCCGGCCUGAGAGGGCGCACGGCCACACUGGAACUGAAACACGGUCCAGACUCCUACGGGAGGCAGCAGUGGGGAAUUUUGCGCAAUGGGGGAAACCCUGACGCAGCAACGCCGCGUGAAGGAUGAAGGUCUUUGGAUUGUAAACUUCUUUCGUCCGGGAAGAUAAUGACGGUACCGGAAUAAGAAGCCCCGGCUAACUUCGUGCCAGCAGCCGCGGUAAUACGAAGGGGGCAAGCGUUGUUCGGAAUUAUUGGGCGUAAAGGGCGCGUAGGCGGUGCGGUAAGAGUGUUGUGAAAUCCUCGGGCUCAACUCGAGGCCUGCAACGCUGACUGCCGUGCUGGAGUGUGGGAGAGGUGCGUGGAAUUCCCGGUGUAGC
rnacentral:rRNA from 1 species